rnacentral:rRNA from 1 species
UACAGAGGUCCCGAGCGUUGUUCGGAUUCACUGGGCGUAAAGGGUGCGUAGGUGGUAGUGAAAGUUUGAUGUGAAAUCUCCGAGCUUAACUCGGAAAAUGCAUUGAAAACUGCAUUGCUAGAGGUUUGGAGGGGGGACUGGAAUACUUGGUGUAGCAGUGAAAUGCGUAGAUAUCAAGUGGAACACCAGUGGCGAAGGCGAGUCCCUGGACAACACCUGACACUGAGGCACGAAAGCUAGGGGAGCAAACAGG